rnacentral:rRNA from 1 species
CACGUAGGGGGCGAGCGUUGUCCGGAAUUACUGGGCGUAAAGGGCGCGCAGGCGGUUUGAAUAGUCAGAUGUGAAAGCCCACGGCUUAACCGUGGAAGUGCAUUUGAAACUGUCAGACUUGAGUACCAGAGGGGAAAGUGGAAUUCCCGGUGUAGAGGUGAAAUUCGUAGAUAUCGGGAGGAAUACCGGUGGCGAAGGCGACUUUCUGGCUGGAUACUGACGCUGAGGCGCGAAAGCGUGGGGAGCAAACAGGAUUAGAUACCCGCGUAGUCCCUGAG